GCUGGCGGCGUGCUUACACAUGCAAGUCGAACGAUGAACUGGCGCUUGCGUCGGGGAUUAGUGGCGAACGGGUGAGUAACACGUGAGUAACCUGCCCUUAACUCUGGGAUAAGCCUGGGAAACUGGGUCUAAUACCGGAUAUUGACUUUUCACCGCAUGGUGUUUUGUUGAAAGCUUUAGUGGUUUUGGAUGGACUCGCGGCCUAUCAGCUUGUUGGUGAGGUAAUGGCUUACCAAGGCGACGACGGGUAGCCGGCCUGAGAGGGUGACCGGCCACACUGGGACUGAGACACGGCCCAGACUCCUACGGGAGGCAGCAGUGGGGAAUAUUGCACAAUGGGCGAAAGCCUGAUGCAGCGACGCCGCGUGAGGGAUGACGGCCUUCGGGUUGUAAACCUCUUUCAGUAGGGAACAAGGCCACACGUUGUGUGGUUGAGGGUACUUGCAGAAGAAGCGCCGGCUAACUACGUGCCAGCAGCCGCGGUAAUACGUAGGGCGCAAGCGUUAUCCGGAAUUAUUGGGCGUAAAGAGCUCGUAGGCGGUUUGUCGCGUCUGCCGUGAAAGUCCGGGGCUCAACUCCGGAUCUGCGGUGGGUACGGGCAGACUAGAGUGAUGUAGGGGAGACUGGAAUUCCUGGUGUAGCGGUGAAAUGCGCAGAUAUCAGGAGGAACACCGAUGGCGAAGGCAGGUCUCUGGGCAUUAACUGACGCUGAGGAGCGAAAGCAUGGGGAGCGAACAGGAUUAGAUACCCUGGUAGUCCAUGCCGUAAACGUUGGG
rnacentral:rRNA from 1 species